rnacentral:rRNA from 1 species
GUCCUACGGGAGGCAGCAGUGGGGAAUAUUGCACAAUGGGGGAAACCCUGAUGCAGCGACGCCGCGUGAAGGAAGAAGUAUUUCGGUAUGUAAACUUCCAUCAGCAGGGAAGAAAAUGACGGUACCUGACUAAGAAGCCCCGGCUAACUACGUGCCAGCAGCCGCGGUAAUACGUAGGGGGCAAGCGUUAUCCGGAUUUACUGGGUGUAAAGGGAGCGUAGACGGCGAUGCAAGCCAGAUGUGAAAGCCCGGGGCUCAACCCCGGGACUGCUCUGGAAACUGUAAAGCUGGAGUGCGGGAGGGGC